ACCACAAGAGCGUGGAGUAUGUGGCUUAAUUCGACUCAACGCGCAAUAACUUACUUGGUCCGAACGCUUUGAGGAUUGACAGUUUCUGGUACAAUGUGCGGCUUGUUUGUUACAACUACGAAUGAUUCGAAUUGUUGUAAAUAUGACUUGGCCGGCCUUCGGGUGUCUUGGAUCGGCGUAUCAGGUCGUACAUUGUAUUCAAUGAGAAAGUUCUUUUAUGAUUAUGUGGUAGGUGGUGCAUGGCCGUCUUUAAUUCGUGGAGUGAUCUGUCUGCUUAAUUGCGCAUUGCAAAUUGUAAUUGAUCUUUGAACAGAUCCGUCUUUUUAUGUUGAAUAGUACGUACAGUCAGACCCGGUUGGGCAUGUACGGAAAGGUCACAUAUAAAGUACGGUCUGCUAAAGAUAUGAAUAUCUUGCCCUAAAGAUUGAUUAACACCGUGAGUGCAAC
rnacentral:rRNA from 1 species